UUUUUUUUGUCAACAGAUUUUAUUUAGAGCUCAAAAGAGCCAAUUGUGAGGAAAAUUAUUUAUAAAAGUGACAUGAAGCGGUUCAAUAUGAAUUUUUCGUGCCAAUUUGUCCGCCUUUACAUUUGCAGUUCGAGAAAUUAAAGAUAAAGAAAACUUUGUGAAUUCCUCCUUAUAUCGGUCUUUAGUUCCUCCAAAUAAGUUGAAAACGCUGGUCAUUCGGUUGGAGAAGACACCAUCUUCACCAAGUCUGAAUAGUCUGUAAAAAAUGCUACUUCUUGGUUGUCGGCACCAAUCAUACACUUCAUCGACCAAAGUAGUGCUUCGACUUCUGUAUGGAGUGGAUAAAGACUUCUACGAAGAUUAGCAGCUCCCAUGGUUGGCGAGUCUCCAUUUGAUGAUCUGCAAAACCACCCUAAUCCAGAAAACUUAUCGCUUCCUUUCCAAGAUCCGUCCACAAAACAACGCAAACCAGAAUAAAUAUUAUCGUGUGAUAUAUUCUGAACCCGAAUUUGUUUUUUCGAUCCCAUGGAACCGUUAUUUUUGGUAUUGAGCUCAAAUUGAGCUAACUGCCAUAAUUCUGCCUCUUUUUCUGUUAAACAUAAUACGUCUAACUUUAUUUCCGAUAUUCUUAGCUCUAGAAAAUUUUCAUUCUUAAAAC
rnacentral:sRNA from 1 species